CCACAAGGGAGAUUUCUUCCAGAGAGAGGAUAGAGUUAUUAAGUCUAAAGUCCAUUAUUUGCUUUUGUCCUUCAUGAAAAGAUGGUCCUGUCUCUGGGUGGAUCUAACAAGGAUCCUGGAACUCCAGGGGUAUUUUUUAAUUCUUACCGGAUUCGAUCCUGGCUUUAAAUCAAUUCUCACAGGUUCUGCUUUCUGGAUUUACCGGGAACUUCCCAGUCCAGACGAUUGGAAUUACAGCAUUAUAUUUUGACUGUUUAGCUGUAACCAGAGGUUCUGCUGGGAGACUCCCCUCCGGUCCCCGUCAGAUAGGUUCACUUAAAAAGAACAAAUCUACAUAUGGCACUUUAUUCCAUUUACUCUCUAACCUACAAAACAACAGUAAUUGCAAUAUAGUA